rnacentral:rRNA from 1 species
UACGUAGGGUGCGAGCGUUAAUCGGAAUUACUGGGCGUAAAGCGUGCGCAGGCGGUUUUGUAAGGCAGAUGUGAAAUCCCCGGGCUUAACCUGGGAAUGGCAUUUGGGACUGCAAGGCUUGAGUGCGGCAGAGGAGACUGGAAUUCCUGGUGUAGCAGUGAAAUGCGUAGAUAUCAGGAGGAACACCGAUGGCGAAGGCAGGUCUCUGGGCUGACACUGACGCUCAUGCGCGACAGCGUGGGGAUCAAACAGG